rnacentral:lncRNA from 1 species
CCCCUGGAUUUUGGAUAUUUUGGGGCAGAACCCCAGGAUUCUGAAUAUUUUGGGUCAGAACUCCAGAAUUUUGAAUAUUUUGAGGUGGAACCCCGGGAUUUUGGCUAUUUUGGGUCAGAACCCUGGGAUUUUGGGUCAGAACCCCGGGAUUUUGGGUCGGAACCCCAGGAUUUUGACUAUUUUGGGCCGGAACCCCGGGAUUUUGGGUCGGAACCCCAGGAUUUUGACUAUUUUGGAUCGAAACCCCGGGAUUUUGACUCUUUUGGGCCGGAACCCCGGGAUUUUGGGCCGGAACCCCGGGAUUUUGGGCUGGAACCCCGGGAUUUUGGGUCAGAACCCCGGGAUUUUGACUAUUUUGGGUUGGAACCCCGGGAUUUUGGGUCGGAACCCCGGGAUUUUGAAUAUUUUGGGCCGGAACCCCGGGAUUUUGGCUAUUUUGGGUCAGAACCCCGGGAUUUUGGGUCUGAACCCCAGGAUUUUGACUAUUUUGGAUCGGAACCCCGGGAUUUUGGGUCGGAACCCCGGGAUUUUGGGCCGGAACCCCGGGAUUUUGGGUCGGAACCCCGGGAUUUUGGCUAUUUUGGGCCGGAACCCCGGGAUUUUGGGUCGGAACCCCGGGAUUUUGGGUCGGAACUCCAGGAUUUUGACUCUUUUGGGCCGGAACCCCGCGAUUUUGGGUCAGAACCCCAGGAUUUUGACUAUUUUGGGUCAGAACCCCUGGAUUUUGACUAUUUUGGGUCGGAACCCCGGGAUUUUGGGUCAGAACCCCGGGAUUUUGAAUAUUUUGGGCCGGAACCCCGGGAUUUUGAAUAUUUUGGGCCGGAACCCCGGGAUUUUGGGUCGGAACCCCGGGAUUUUGGGCCGGAACCCCGGGAUUUUGGGUCUGAACCCCGGGAUUUUGGGCCGGAACCCCCCAGUCUGGGGGCGCGCAGCCGGGCCCCGGCUGCAGCAGCGCCUGCAGCACCUCGGCCUCGAAGGCGCCCACGAAGCAGCGGCGGCAGAAGGGCAGCAGCG